UUGGAGGGCAAGUCUGGUGCCCGCAGCCGCGGUAAUUCCAGCUCCAAUAGCGUAUAUUAAAGUUGUUGCAGUUAAAAAGCUCGUAGUUGAAUUUUGGAUUCUUCCAAUUUGUCCAUCUUUUAGAUGAGUACUGGUUGUGUGGGGUCUAUCCGCCUGGUAAUACGUAAUGUCCUUUAUUGGAUGUUGCAGGUAGUCAGGACCUUUACCUUGAAAAAAUUAGAGUGUUUAAAGCAGGCUUAUGCCGGAAUACAUUAGCAUGGAAUAAUAGAAUAGGACGAAGUUGUUUUAUUUUGUUGGUUUCUAGGACAACCGUAAUGAUUAAUAGGGAUAGUUGGGGGCAUUAGUAUUCAAUUGUCAGAGGUGAAAUUCUUGGAUUUAUUGAAGACUAACUACUGCGAAAGCAUCUGCCAAGGAUGUUUUCAUUAAUCAAGAACGAAAGUUAGGGGAUCGAAGACGAUCAGAUACCGUCGUAGUCUUAACCAUAAACUAUGCCGACUAGGGAUCGGGCGAUGUUGUUUCCAUGACUCGCUCGGCACCUUAUGGGAAACCAAAGUGUUUGGGUUC
rnacentral:rRNA from 1 species